AUUGAACGCUGGCGGCAGGCCUAACACAUGCAAGUCGAACGAGUGGCGGACGGGUGAGUAAUGUCUUGGACACUGCCCGAUGGAGGGGGAUCGCUACUGGACACGGUAGCUAAUUCCGCAUACCAUAGGCUGUGCCCAGAUGGGUUUAGCUAGUAGGUGGGGUAACGGCUCACCUCGGCGACGAUCCCUAGCUGGUCUGGGAGGAUGCCCAGCCCAACUUGAACUGGGACACGGGCCAGAAUCCUAACGGGAGCAGGAGGGGGGGAUUUUCCGCAAAGGACGGAAGGCUGACGGAGGAACGGCGGGGGGGUGAUGACGGGCUUCGGGUGGUAAAGGUCGUUAAGCGGGACGGCGGUACCGGAAGAAAAAGCAACGGCUAACUACGUGCCAGCCGCCGCGGUAAUAC
rnacentral:rRNA from 1 species